GGGGAAUAUUGGACAAUGGGCGAAAGCCUGAUCCAGCAAUGCCGCGUGGGUGAAGAAGGUCUUCGGAUUGUAAAGCCCUUUCGGCGGGGACGAUGAUGACGGUACCCGCAGAAGAAGCCCCGGCUAACUUCGUGCCAGCAGCCGCGGGAAUACGAAGGGGGCUAGCGUUGCUCGGAAUGACUGGGCGUAAAGGGCGCGUAGGCGGCGGACACAGUCAGGCGUGAAAUUCCUGGGCUCAACCUGGGGGCUGCGCUUGAUACGUGUUGGCUAGAGUGUGGAAGAGGGUCGUGGAAUUCCCAGUGUAGAGGUGAAAUUCGUAGAUAUUGGGAAGAACACCGGUGGCGAAGGCGGCGACCUGGUCCAUGACUGACGCUGAGGCGCGAAAGCGUAGGGAGCAAACA
rnacentral:rRNA from 1 species